rnacentral:rRNA from 1 species
UACUAGAGUAGCACUCGCAUAUCAAUAAGCGGAGGAAAAGAAACUAACAAGGAUUCCCCUAGUAACGGCGAGUGAAGCGGGAAGAGCUCAAAUUUGAAAUCUUAAAGGAUUUCCCUUUACGAAUUGUAGUUUAAAGAAGUGUUUUCUGUUGAGGUUUUGGUAAAAGUUCUUUGGAAUAGGACAUCAUAGAGGGUGAGAAUCCCGUAUUUGACCUUUACUUUCAACUUUGUGAUACACUUUCAAAGAGUCGGAUUGUUUGGGAAUGCAGUCCAAAAUGGGUGGUAAAUUUCAUCUAAAGCUAAAUAUUGGCGAGAGACCGAUAGCGAACAAGUACCGUGAGGGAAAGGAUGAAAAGAACUUUGAAAAGAGAGUUAAACAGUACGUGAAAUUGUCAAAAGGGAAGCGUUUGACACCAGUGUUGUUUUUCUGAAAAUCAAUUAAAGAACUGUUUAUGCUAAGUUGUUUAGACUUUAUCAGCUAUACUGUUUAGUUUUGAGCUUUUCUUUAAUGCACUUUUCAGUUAACAAGUCAACAUCAAUUUCUUUUGCUGUAAAAAAGCUUGAGGAAGGUGGCUUGAGAUUCGUCUUAAGUGUUUAUAGCCUCUUGCCUAUGCAGUCGGAGAGAUUGAGGUCUGCAGCGUAGAUCCUUCGGGGCUAAAUGCAUUUGUGCUAAGUUAUAGCAUUUUAUAGACAACUUGUUGACUAUGAUUUGUCUUGUAGCUUACUCGCUUAUGUUAUUUUACCUACGCUUAGGAUGUUGAGUAGCGACAUACGCAC